rnacentral:tRNA from 1 species
CAGUUAAAUAGUUUAAAAAAAUACUAUUUUUGGGGAAUAGAGUUCUUGUGCGGGGCAAGUUUACUGG